rnacentral:rRNA from 1 species
AACUUCUGAAUGUGACCUCGAAUCAGUAGA